rnacentral:rRNA from 1 species
GAACCGUGCGAACGUUAUUCGGAAUCACUGGGCUUAAAGCGCGUGUAGGCGGGCUGCCACGUCGGGCGCUGAAAUCCCCCGGCUCAACCGGGGAAGGGGCCGUGAUACGACCGGGCUGGAGGGGGGUAGGGGGGACGGGAACUCACGGUGGAGCGGUGAAAUGCGUUGAGAUCGUGAGGAACGCCCGUGGCGAAAGCGCGUCCCUGGACCCCACCUGACGCUGAGACGCGAAAGCCAGGGGAGCGAACGGGAUUAGAUACCCCGGUAGUCCUGGCCGUAAACCAUGAGCACUGGGUAGGGGGCUCGCCGAUGGGCUCCCUGCCGCAGCGAAAGCGUGAAGUGCUCCGCCUGGGGAGUAUGGUCGCAAGGCUG